rnacentral:rRNA from 1 species
CACAUGCAGGUCGAACGAAGCGCUUGGAUGGAAUUCUUCGGAAGGAAGCUCAAGUGACUGAGUGGCGGACGGGUGAGUAACGCGUGGGUAACCUGCCUCAUACAGGGGGAUAACAGUUAGAAAUGACUGCUAAUACCGCAUAAGCACACGUGAUCGCAUGAUCGAGUGUGAAAAACUCCGGUGGUAUGAGAUGGACCCGCGUCUGAUUAGCUAGUUGGUGGGGUAAUGGCCCACCAAGGCGACGAUCAGUAGCCGGCCUGAGAGGGUGGACGGCCACAUUGGGACUGAGACACGGCCCAAACUCCUACGGGAGGCAGCAGUGGGGAAUAUUGCACAAUGGGGGAAACCCUGAUGCAGCGACGCCGCGUGAAGGAUGAAGUAUUUCGGUAUGUAAACUUCUAUCAGCAGGGAAGAAAAUGACGGUACCUGACUAAGAAGCCCCGGCUAACUACGUGCCAGCAGCCGCGGUAAUACGUAGGGGGCAAGCGUUAUCCGGAUUUACUGGGUGUAAAGGGAGCGUAGACGGCAGUGCAAGUCUGAAGUGAAAGCCCGGGGCUCAACCCCGGGACUGCUUUGGAAACUGUGCAGCUAGAGUGUCGGAGAGGCAAGCGGAAUUCCUAGUGUAGCGGUGAAAUGCGUAGAUAUUAGGAGGAACACCAGUGGCGAAGGCGGCUUGCUGGACG